GCUGGGGUGGUCUAGUGGUAUGAUACCGGGACAAGCAGGUCUGGCGGGUAAUUCACUAGAUCUCCAGACCGCGGAUGACAAGACACCACAUUUCGAAAACCAGAAACCAUCGUGGAUGCCAGUCACAGCGAAGAGGGAUCUAGUGGAUUGCCCCCCAGUGUCCGGCAGGCCCGGAGGUCGCCAGUUCGAAUCUGGCCCUCGGCA